rnacentral:rRNA from 1 species
UAGGGAAUCUUCGGCAAUGGACGGAAGUCUGACCGAGCAACGCCGCGUGAGUGAAGAAGGUUUUCGGAUCGUAAAGCUCUGUUGUAAGAGAAGAACGAGUGUGAGAGUGGAAAGCUCACACUGUGACGGUAUCUUACCAGAAAGGGACGGCUAACUACGUGCCAGCAGCCGCGGUAAUACGUAGGUCCCGAGCGUUGUCCGGAUUUAUUGGGCGUAAAGCGAGCGCAGGCGGUUUGAUAAGUCUGAAGUUAAAGGCUGUGGCUCAACCAUAGUUCGCUUUGGAAACUGUCAAACUUGAGUGCAGAAGGGGAGAGUGGAAUUCCAUGUGUAGCGGUGAAAUGCGUAGAUAUAUGGAGGAACACCGGUGGCGAAAGCGGCUCUCUGGUCUGUAACUGACGCUGAGGCUCGAAAGCGUGGGGAGCGAACAGGAUUAGAUACCCUGGUAGUCCACGCCGUAAACGAUGAGUGCUAGGUGUUGGAUCCUUUCCGGGAUUCAGUGCCGCAGCUAACGCGUUAAGCACUCCGCCUGGGGAGUACGACCGCAAGGUUG